GAUGAACGCUGGCGGCGUGCUUAACACAUGCAAGUCGAACGGGAAACCUUUUAAUGAAGCUUCGGCAGAUUUAGCUGGUUUCUAGUGGCGGACGGGUGAGUAACGCGUGGGUAACCUGCCUUAUACAGGGGGAUAACAGUCAGAAAUGACUGCUAAUACCGCAUAAGCGCACAGGACCGCAUGGUCCGGUGUGAAAAACUCCGGUGGUAUAAGAUGGACCCGCGUUGGAUUAGCUUGUUGGUGGGGUAACGGCUCACCAAGGCGACGAUCCAUAGCCGGCCUGAGAGGGUGAACGGCCACAUUGGGACUGAGACACGGCCCAGAAUCCUACGGGAGGCAGCAGUGGGGAAUAUUGCACAAUGGGGGAAACCCUGAUGCAGCGACGCCGCGUGAAGGAAGAAGUAUCUCGGUAUGUAAACUUCUAUCAGCAGGGAAGAUAGUGACGGUACCUGACUAAGAAGCCCCGGCUAACUACGUG
rnacentral:rRNA from 1 species